rnacentral:rRNA from 1 species
GACGAACGCUGGCGGCGUGCUUAACACAUGCAAGUCGAACGGAAAGGCCCUGCUUUUGUGGGGUGCUCGAGUGGCGAACGGGUGAGUAACACGUGAGUAACCUGCCCUUGACCUUGGGAUAACUUCAGGAAACUGGGGCUAAUACCGGAUAGGAGCUCCUGCUGCAUGGUGGGGGUUGGAAAGUUUCGGCGGUUGGGGAUGGACUCGCGGCUUAUCAGCUUGUUGGUGGGGUAGUGGCUUACCAAGGCUUUGACGGGUAGCCGGCCUGAGAGGGUGACCGGCCACAUUGGGACUGAGAUACGGCCCAGACUCCUACGGGAGGCAGCAGUGGGGAAUAUUGCACAAUGGGCGGAAGCCUGAUGCAGCGACGCCGCGUGCGGGAUGACGGCCUUCGGGUUGUAAACCGCUUUCGCCUGUGACGAAGCGUGAGUGACGGUAAUGGGUAAAGAAGCACCGGCUAACUACGUG